rnacentral:siRNA from 1 species
GACGACUUCUGCAGUCUCGUAGUU